GCUGACAGCGAGCUUAAAAUAGGAAGAUUCCUUUAAGCCCGAUCCCCUCCUCCUCUGAUCCCGGGCCCUGCGAAGAGGCAGCGGACAACUCCAAACAGAGCCCUCCCCCACCCAGCCGCCCUACUCAGAGCCGGAGUCUCUCCACCUCCGCCCUCGUGGGAAUGGGGCGUGUGCAAAGGGAGCGCCGGGUUGUCUGGUGUAUAGGCACAAUAUAUGGAAUUUUCUUCUGCAAUCGAAACUGCAGGAUUGCCAGCAUGGGGUCCAGUUUAUCCUCGUUUCGGGCCUGUGCAUCGUAGGCAUCAACAUCUUUCUGCGCGGGAGGAAUCAGGCUGAGCGAGCUCUGAAAGGCGUGCAAUCGCGGGCGGCGGGGCCACCUGGCCGCCCUCCCUGGGUUCCCGGGAACUGAUGCAAGCACACCACAAGCGGGACAGACUCAAUCCAGCCCAAGAAGAGGACUGGCUUUCUCCCUACCUAUCCCAGAGGAAAGUAAACCUUAUCAUGGCA